UACGUAGGGGGCUAGCGUUGUCCGGAUUCAUUGGGCGUAAAGGGCGCGCAGGCGGCCCGGAAAGUCGGAUGUGAAAACUCGAGGCUCAACCUCGAGCGUGCACCCGAUACUGCCGGGCUUGAGGCAGGUAGGGGAGAUCGGAAUUCCUGGUGUAGCGGUGAAAUGCGCAGAUAUCAGGAGGAACACCGGUGGCGAAGGCGGAUCUCUGGGCAGUAACUGACGCUGAGGAGCGAAAGCGUGGGGAGCGAACAGG
rnacentral:rRNA from 1 species